CUGGACUCGGGCAAACUGGGGUCUCUCUCUUCCCAGCCCACGUAGAUAACCUGGGGCAUGGCCUUCGCCUCUGGAGGAGCCAUGUGACCCUUCCUGGAGCAGCUGUCAGAUAUCACAGAACGGGAGUAUCACCAGGCCAGCGGGCUCGUGGAAAAUAUGCCCUGCAGAGCAUGUCAGGCGGAAAUGCUGUUAUGGAGAUGAAAAAAACCUGCUCCUCCUUCACUUUGCCACCUUCCUUGCUCAACAACUCUCUUG
rnacentral:lncRNA from 1 species